UCCGAGUUGACCCCGGCAGUCUCCUACGAGUCCCCGCCAUUACGCGCUGGCAACAUAGGACAAGGGUUGCGCUCGUUGCGGGACUUAACCCAACAUCUCACGACACGAGCUGACGACAACCAUGCACCACCUGUGUACAGCCCCGAAGGACACCGUAUCUCUACGGCUUUUCCCUACAUGUCAACCCCAGGUAAGGUGGGGAUGACGUCGACGUCAUAACC
rnacentral:misc_RNA from 1 species